rnacentral:rRNA from 1 species
CCUACGGGUGGCAGCAGUGAGGACUAUUGGUCAAUGGGCGAGAGCCUGAACCAGCCAAGCCGCGUGAAGGAUGACGGUUCUCUGCUUUGUAAACUUCUUUUAUAUGGGAAUAAAGUGAGGUACGUGUUCCUUUCUGUAUGUACCUUACGAAUAAGCAUCGGCUAACUCCGUGCCAGCAGCCGCGGUAAUACGGAGGAUGCGAGCGUUAUCCGGAUUUAUUGGGUUUAAAGGGUGCGUAGGUGGUGAAUUAAGUCAGCGGUGAAAGUGUGGGGCUCAACCAUAAAAUUGCCGUUGAAACUGGUUGACUUGAGGAGAUUUGAGGUAGGCGGAAUGCGUGGUGUAGCGGUGAAAUGCAUAGAGAUCACGCAGAACUCCGAUUGCGAAGGCAGCUUACUAAACUAUAACUGACACUGAGGCACGAAAGCGUGGGGAUCAAACAGGAUUAGAUACCCUAGUAGUC